CGCGGCCUAUCAGCUUGUUGGUGAGGUAACGGCUCACCAAGGCAUCGACGGGUAGCUGGUCUGAGAGGACGAUCAGCCACACUGGGACUGAGACACGGCCCAGACUCCUACGGGAGGCAGCAGUAGGGAAUCUUGCGCAAUGGGCGAAAGCCUGACGCAGCAACGCCGCGUGGGGGAUGAAUGCCUUCGGGUUGUAGACCCCUUUCAGCAGGGACGAAAAUGACGGUACCUGCAGAAGAAGCUCCGGCCAACUACGUGCCAGCAGCCGCGGUAAUACGUAGGGAGCGAGCGUUGUCCGGAAUUAUUGGGCGUAAAGAGCUCGUAGGCGGUUCAGUAAGUCGGGUGUGAAAACUCAAGGCUCAACCUUGAGACGCCACUCGAUACUGCUGUGACUUGAGUCCGGUAGAGGAGUGUGGAAUUCCUGGUGUAGCGGUGAAAUGCGCAGAUAUCAGGAGGAACACCAGCGGCGAAGGCGGCACUCUGGGCCGGUACUGACGCUGAGGAGCGAAAGCAUGGGGAGCAAACAGGAUUAGAUAUCCUGGUAGUCCAUGCCGUAAACGUUGGGCACUAGGUAUGGGAUCAUAUCAACGGAUUCCGUGCCGUAGCUAACGCAUUAAGUGCCCCGCCUGGGGAGUACGG
rnacentral:rRNA from 1 species